rnacentral:rRNA from 1 species
GGCGAACUGGUGAGUAACACGUGGGAAACCUGCCCAGAAUCGGGGGAUAACACCUGGAAACAGAUGCUAAUACCGCAUAACAACUUGGACCGCAUGGUCCGAGUUUGAAAGAUGGCUUCGGCUAUCACUUUUGGAUGGUCCCGCGGCGUAUUAGCUAGAUGGUGGGGUAACGGCUCACCAUGGCAAUGAUACGUAGCCGACCUGAGAGGGUAAUCGGCCACAUUGGGACUGAGACACGGCCCAAACUCCUACGGGAGGCAGCAGUAGGGAAUCUUCCACAAUGGACGAAAGUCUGAUGGAGCAACGCCGCGUGAGUGAAGAAGGGUUUCGGCUCGUAAAACUCUGUUGUUAAAGAAGAACAUAUCUGAGAGUAACUGUUCAGGUAUUGACGGUAUUUAACCAGAAAGCCACGGCUAACUACGUGCCAGCAGCCGCGGUAAUACGUAGGUGGCAAGCGUUGUCCGGAUUUAUUGGGCGUAAAGCGAGCGCAGGCGGUUUUUUAAGUCUGAUGUGAAAGCCUUCGGCUCAACCGAAGAAGUGCAUCGGAAACUGGGAAACUUGAGUGCAGAAGAGGACAGUGGAACUCCAUGUGUAGCGGUGAAAUGCGUAGAUAUAUGGAAGAACACCAGUGGCGAAGGCGGCUGUCUGGUCUGUAACUGACGCUGAGGCUCGAAAGUAUGGGUAGCAAACAGGAUUAGAUACCCUGGUAGUCCAUACCGUAAACGAUGAAUGCUAAGUGUUGGAGGGUUUCCGCCCUUCAGUGCUGCAGCUAACGCAUUAAGCAUUCCGCCUGGGGAGUACGGCCGCAAGGCUGAAACUCAAAGGAAUUGACGGGGGCCCGCACAAGCGGUGGAGCAUGUGGUUUAAUUCGAAGCUACGCGAAGAACCUUACCAGGUCUUGACAUACUAUGCAAAUCUAAGAGAUUAGACGUUCCCUUCGGGGACAUGGAUACAGGUGGUGCAUGGUUGUCGUCAGCUCGUGUCGUGAGAUGUUGGGUUAAGUCCCGCAACGAGCGCAACCCUUAUUAUCAGUUGCCAGCAUUAAGUUGGGCACUCUGGUGAGACUGCCGGUGACAAACCGGAGGAAGGUGGGGAUGACGUCAAAUCAUCAUGCCCCUUAUGACCUGGGCUACACACGUGCUACAAUGGAUGGUACAACGAGUUGCGAACUCGCGAGAGUAAGCUAAUCUCUUAAAGCCAUUCUCAGUUCGGAUUGUAGGCUGCAACUCGCCUACAUGAAGUCGGAAUCGCUAGUAAUCGCGGAUCAGCAUGCCGCGGUGAAUACGUUCCCGGGCCUUGUACACACCGCCCAUCACACCAUGAGAGUUUGUAACACCCAAAGUCGGUGGGGUAACC